rnacentral:rRNA from 1 species
GACGAACGCUGGCGGCGUGCUUAACACAUGCAAGUCGAACGGUGAAGCUCCAGCUUGCUGGAGUGGAUCAGUGGCGAACGGGUGAGUAACACGUGAGCAACCUGCCCCUGACUCUGGAAUAAGCGCUGGAAACGGCGUCUAAUACUGGAUACGAGAAGGGUCCGCAUGGGCACUUUCUGGAAAGUUUUUCGGUUGGGGAUGGGCUCGCGGCCUAUCAGCUUGUUGGUGAGGUAUUGGCCCACCAAGGCGACGACGGGUAGCCGGCCUGAGAGGGGGACCGCCCCCCGGGGGUCUGAGCACCGCCCCGGCCCCCUCCGGAGGGACGGGGGGGGGAUUUUUCCACAGUGGGCGAAACCCGGAUGCACCCGCCCCGCGGGGGGGGUGCGGGCCUUCGGGUUGUAAACCUUUUUGAAGAGGAAAGAAGGGAAAGUGGCGGUCCCGGCAAAGAAAGCCCCGCCUACCUUCGU